AUGCAGAGGGCUUGGAUCAAAGUUAUACGUGAACUGGCGCAUGCUAUUGAGGACUGCAUCGACCGCUUCAUGCAUCGGCUGACCAUCUCCAGGACAUCAACGUGGAUCCGUCAGGCUCUCCACCGGUUGCAGACGGUGACAGUCCGUAAGGAGUUUGCCAAGACGAUCCGCGAGCUCAAGAAGAUAUCACAAGAUUCAUCCAAGCUGAGAGAAACUUACUACAACGCCAGCACCGGUGCUGACACCUCAUUGUCAGCUUCACCAUUCGCAGUGGCAUGCACACCUGAGAUGACAGCAGAGAUGGUCAUAGACGACACCAUUUCAACUCGCAGCCCCGUGGGCAUGGACACUCCCCAAGAUGAGCUUAUGGAGCUGGUACAGCAGCAACAGCAGCACCUCAAGGUGAUCUCGAUUGUUGGCUUCGAUGGCAUAGGCAAGACCCUCCUUGCCAGGCAUGUGUACCAGAGUAUGAUGAGCCAAUAUGAAGUAUGGGCUUGGGUUUGUGCAGCCGAGCAAAGGGGCGCAAGCGAUGUUCUCGAAGUGAUACUCCAGCAAUUUCCCAUCCCCACCACAUUCACCAGUGGUGGAGGUAGCCUCAGCAAGCUCUGCGCAAUCCUCAGAUCGUGCCUUCAAACCAAGAGGUUCUUCAUCGUACUCGGUGACAUGAGGACAGAAUUUUGGCAUGAUAUUAAAGAUGCCUUUGUGGGGUUGAAUGGCAGAGUUCUGGUGACGACGGCUAUUCAGUCAGUAGCAAAUGCCUGCAGCAGCUCGGCAGCUCAUGAUCAUGUGUACACAAUGAAAACUCUCCCUGAUGGACACUCGAGGCAGUUGUUUUUCAAGGAAGCUUUCCAAGACAACGAUCCGCCAGUCAGUAAAGAGGAUCAGCUUGGCUCGGAAGCACUGAAGAAGUGUGAUGGUUUACCCCUUGCUCUUGUUACUACAGCCCGGUACUUGCAAAGCACAGGUAAUCCGACGCGUGAAAACUGGGCAACAUUGUGCCACAACCUGGGAGCACACCUAGAAACGAAGGAGAUGUUAGCAAGAAUGAAGUGUGUGCUUGUCCAAAGCUACACCAGCCUUGUUAAACAUGAUGUCAAGACUUGCUUGCUAUAUGUAGGUAUGUACCCAAGUGGGCGUACAGUCAGGAGGAGAAGCUUGAUAAGGAAAUGGUGUGCUGAAGGGUUUAUCCAAGGUGAUUAUAUGUGUAAUGCUCUGGAUGCUGCUACCGGCAAUUUCAAAGAUCUGGUCAACCGGAGUAUCAUCCAGCGUACAGACACCAGCAGCAAAAAUAGCGUAGAUCAGGUGAAGACAUACCAUACUCAUGGCAUGAUGCUUGAGUUCAUCCUGCACAUUUCCAAGUGUGACAACUUCAUUACAUUGUUAUAUGAUCAGCUAGCUCCCUCACACCCACCCAAUAAAAUUCGCUGGCUCUCCCUCCAUGACGCAAGUGCCAAAGUAGCCAAUGAUCUAUCUCUUGUCCGGUCUCUGACAAUUUUCGGAAGGGCGCAUGUAUCUGUCUUGGAAUUUUCCAGGUAUGAAUUGUUGAGGGUCUUGGAUCUUGAAGAAUGUGGUAACCACUUGGAGGACAAGCAUCUUAGGGAGAUAUGCAGUAACCUAUUGCUGCUCAGGUACCUAAGCCUUGGGGCUGCUGUUAAGGUUACGAUGCUCCCCAAAGAGAUCAAAAAGCUUAAACUUUUGGAGACACUGGAUGUAAGAAGAACCAAGAUAGAGAUUCUGCCAACACAAGUCAUGGAGCUGCCAUGCUUGAUUCAUCUAUUUGGAAAGUUCAAGCUCCAAGAAGGUGUAGGAAGCCGGAAAAUGCAUAAGCUACAAACCUGGUUCUCAGAGAAUAGCAAAUUGGAAACAGUAGCAGGAUUUGUUGUGGACAACAACAAGAGCCGAGGAUUUGCACGGCUCAUGGAGCAUAUGAAGCACUUGACGAAGGUGAAAAUAUGGUGCGAGCAGUCCACUAAUAAUAGCACGGAUCCCACUGCCAGUGACAGCAACAGCAGCACCAACAAUUACACUCAUGUCUCAAAUGCCAUCAAGAGGUUCAUCAAGAGAAGCACGGACGUGAAAAAGGCUCACUCACUCUCAAUACAUUUCAAUGAUAAAUGGUUCCAAGACUUGCUCGUGAACUUGUCCCUAGAAAAAGAAGAAGCUUCCUCCUGCUAUCUUAGCUCGCUCAAGCUACAAGGGGGCAACAUAUGCAGCCUGCCUCCAUUUCUUACCAUGCUAGGUGGUCUCACUAAGCUGUGCCUUUCAUCCCCUCAUCAUCAGCUGAGCGGGGAUAUUCUUACUGCCCUGAGCAGAGUGCGCAGCUUGGCGUACCUGAAGCUGAUUGCAUCUCAACUGGACAAACUCGCCAUCAUAAAAGGUGCACUUGGAAGCCUGCGAGGACUAUGCAUCGUGGUUGAAGUCAUGACUGAACUGGAAGUCCAAGAGGGAGCUCUGCCAUUCCUCGAGUCGCUCCAGUUGCUAUGUAAGGAUGUAAAUGGCUUUUGCUGCACGACGAUCCAGUCCCUGCGGCGUAUUAAGGAGGUCACCCUCCAUGACGGAGUGAAUUAUGAAACAAAACAAAAGUGGAAGGAAGCAGCAAAAGAACACCCCAGACGCCCCAAUCUCUUGUUUGUUAAGACAGCAGAAGAUGUCGAUAUGGGAAGUGAACCUGCAGAUAUUUCUACUGGACAGUCUGGUAAUCAAGUGUCACGCAUCUUAUUUUGCUUAAUUGUUGGUACUUUGGUUAAUUGGUGUUGA
rnacentral:rRNA from 1 species